rnacentral:rRNA from 1 species
UACGGAGGAUGCGAGCGUUAUCCGGAUUUAUUGGGUUUAAAGGGUGCGUAGGUGGGACUGUAAGUCAGCGGUGAAAAAACGGAGCUUAACUCCGUCCGUGCCGAUGAAACUGCAGUUCUUGAGUAUGGAAGAGGAAGGCGGAAUUCGUAGUGUAGCGGUGAAAUGCAUAGAUAUUACGAAGAACCCCGAUAGCGCAGGCAGCCUUCCAGUCCAUCACUGACACUGAAGCACGAAAGUGUGGGUAUCAAACAGGAUUAGAUACCCUGGUAGUCCACACAGUAAACGAUGAAUACUCACUGUUUGCGAUACACGGUAAGCGGUCAAGCGAAAGCGUUAAGUAUUCCACCUGGGGAGUACGCCGGCAACGGUGAAACUCAAAGGAAUUGACGGGGGCCCGCACAAGCGGAGGAACAUGUGGUUUAAUUCGAUGAUACGCGAGGAACCUUACCCGGGCUCGAACGGCUAUAGAAUGCCUGUGAAAGCAGGUAGCCAGCGAUGGCUGUAGUCGAGGUGCUGCAUGGUUGUCGUCAGCUCGUGCCGUGAGGUGUCGGCUUAAGUGCCAUAACGAGCGCAACCCCUACCGUUAGUUACCAUCAGGUUAAGCUGGGGACUCUGACGGGACUGCCGCCGUAAGGUGCGAGGAAGGCGGGGAUGACGUCAAAUCAGCACGGCCCUUACGUCCGGGGCUACACACGUGUUACAAUGGGAGGGACAAAGGGUUGCUACCCCGCGAGAGGAUGCCAAUCCCCAAACCCUCUCCCAGUUCGGAUUGGAGUCUGCAACCCGACUCCAUGAAGCUGGAUUCGCUAGUAAUCGCGCAUCAGCCAUGGCGCGGUGAAUACGUUCCCGGGCCUU